rnacentral:rRNA from 1 species
AGAUUGAACGCUGGCGGCAUGCCUAACACAUGCAAGUCGAACGGGAGUAGCAAUACUCUAGUGGCGGACGGGUGAGGAAUACGUAGGAAUUUGCCCUUAAGUGGGGGAUAACCCGGGGAAACCCGGAUUAAUACCGCAUGACCUCGAAAGAGCAAAGUGGGGGAUCGCAAGACCUCACGUCUUUUGGAGAAGCCUACGUCGGAUUAGCUAGUUGGUGAGGUAAUGGCUCACCAAGGCGACGAUCCGUAACUGGUCUGAGAGGAUGAUCAGUCACACCGGAACU